rnacentral:rRNA from 1 species
AUACGAGUACCCCAAGCGUUACCCGGAUUUAUUGGGCGUAAAGGGUGUGUAGGCGGUUAUAUUAGUCUCUUGUUAAAACUUCCGGCUUAACUGGAAAUCUGCAGGAGAAACGGUAUAACUAGAGGAUGUGAGAGGUUUACGGAACCCACAGUGUAGGGGUGAAAUCCGUUGAUAUUGUGGGGAACACCAAAGGCGAAGGCAGUAAACUAGCACAUUCCUGACGCUGAGACACGAAAACGUGGGUAGCGAAUGGGAUUAGAUACCCGGGUAGUCC